AACGAACGCUGGCGGCAGGCUUAACACAUGCAAGUCGAACGCCCCGCAAGGGGAGUGGCAGACGGGUGAGUAACGCGUGGGAAUCUACCGUGCCCUACGGAACAACAGUUGGAAACGACUGCUAAUACCGUAUACGCCCUACGGGGGAAAGAUUUAUCGGGGUAUGAUGAGCCCGCGUUGGAUUAGCUAGUUGGUGGGGUAAAGGCCUACCAAGGCGACGAUCCAUAGCUGGUCUGAGAGGAUGAUCAGCCACAUUGGGACUGAGACACGGCCCAAACUCCUACGGGAGGCAGCAGUGGGGAAUAUUGGACAAUGGGCGCAAGCCUGAUCCAGCCAUGCCGCGUAAGUGAUGAAGGUCUUAGGAUUGUAAAGCUCUUUCACCGACGAAGAUAAUGACGGUAGUCGGAGAAGAAGCCCCGGCUAACUUCGUGCCAGCAGCCGCCGUAAAAC
rnacentral:rRNA from 1 species